UUUGAUCUGGGCCCAGGACAAACCCUGCCGCCUUCCUUACCACUCCAAUUCAAACGAAAAGGCCCCCUUCUGUGGUGGGGGUGCCCCAAUGGCCAAAGGGUGAAUAACACCUGGGUUAUCCGCCCCGUACUUCCGGAUUAACCUGGGAAACCGGGUCCAAUACCCGAUAGGAACAUGGUUUAGUGUCUCAUGGUGGAAAAAUAUUGUUUUGGUGCAGGAUGAGCUCGCGGCCUAUCAGCUCGUUGGUGGGGUAAUGGCCUACCAAGGCGUCGACGGGUAGCCGGCCUGAAAGGGGGAACGGCCCCAUUGGAACUGAAAUACGGCCCAAACCCCUACGGAAGGCACCUGUGGGGAAUAUUGCACUGUGGGCGCACCCCAGACGCCGCCACCCCGCGUGGGAGAUGACCGCCUUCGUUGUUGUAUACUCCUUUCAUUAAGGACGACACCACUCCUUUUUUGGGUGUGGUGACCGUACCUUUGUUAACAACCACCAGCUACCUACCUGCCACCACCCGCGAUCAUACGUGCGGUGCGUAGCCUUGACCUGAAGUACUGAGCGUCUCGAACUCGGAUGUGUGUUGUUGCUGCGACUGUGAAUUUCCGGGGCUUAACUUCGGGGUGGCAGGCGAUACGGGCAUAACUAGAGUGCUGUAGGGGAGACUGGAAUUCCUGGUGUAGCGGUGGAAUGCGCAGAUAUCAGGAGGAACACCGAUGGCGAAGGCAGGUCUCUGGGCAGUAACUGACGCUGAGGAGCGAAAGCAUGGGGAGCGAACAGGAUUAGAUACCCUGGUAGUCCAUGCUGUAAACGGUGGGCGUUAGGUGUGGGGACCGGUUUGGUUUCUGUGCCGUAGCUAACGCAUUAAGCGCCCCGCCUGGGGGGUACGGCCGCAAGGCUAAAACUCAAAGGAAUUGACGGGGGCCCGCACAAGCGGCGGAGCAUGUGGAUUAAUUCGAUGCAACGCGAAGAACCUUACCUGGGUUUGACAUGCACCAGACGGUUGUAGAGAUACGUACCUCCCUUUGUGGUUGGUGCGCAGGUGGUGCAUGGUUGUCGUCAGCUCGUGUCGUGAGAUGUUGGGUUAAGUCCCGCAACGAGCGCAACCCUUGUCUUAUGUUGCCAGCACUUUGGGUGGGGACUCAUGAGAGACUGCCGGGGUUAACUCGGAGGAAGGUGGGGAUGACGUCAAAUCAUCAUGCCCUUUAUGCCCAGGGCUUCACACAUGCUACAAUGGUUAGUACAACGCGCUGCGAACCUGUGAGGGUGAGCGAAUCGCUGAAGGCUAAUCUCAGUUCGGAUUGGGGUCUGCAACUCGACCCCAUGAAGUCGGAGUCGCUAGUAAUCGCAGAUCAGCAAUGCUGCGGUGAAUACGUUCCCGGGCCUUGUACACACCGCCCGUC
rnacentral:rRNA from 1 species